GCCAUUGUGCUGACAUCCCAGAGUCCAAAUAUCCUGCCAGAUGAAUUUUUACCACCAGCACUUGAAGUGGUCACAAAGUGAUAGAAGAUCAGAGACUGGUAUACAGAAAAACAGGCCCAUGUCCCCACAACUCUCCAUUUGAAAAAUACAUUUCGUAUUCCCUCUUUGUACAGUUCAGGGUACUUCUUUGAAAGGGAUGCACUGACAUCCUUGUCAAAAAGCCCAACCAUGAUCACUGGCAGUGCUGUAAAUAUGACAUUAUACAGUGACUGGAACCAAUCAUCAUAGAAUCUUUGACCCGAAAAGCCAGUAUGAAAAGUGAACCAAAAUUGGGUCAGAGUAAACGUAAGAUUCUUGUAAAAGAAAUAUGUGAUAACCUUGCAUAUUCUAAGAUAUGACCACCG
rnacentral:misc_RNA from 1 species